rnacentral:rRNA from 1 species
UACGGAGGGUGCGAGCGUUGUUCGGAUUCAUUGGGGCGUAAAGGGUGCGUAGGCGGCUAUGUUAGUCAGAUGUGAAAGCCUGGGGCUUAACCCCAGAAGCGCAUUUGAUACUGCAUGGCUUUUGAGGACUGGAGAGGAGAGUGGAAUUCACGGUGUAGCAGUGAAAUGCGUAGAUAUCGUGAGGAAGGCCAAUGGCGAAGGCAGCUCUCUGGACAGGACCUGACGCUGAGGCACGAAGGCUAGGGGAGCAAACGGG